rnacentral:rRNA from 1 species
AUUGAACGCUGGCGGUAUGCUUAAGACAUGCAAGUCGAACGGUAGCAGGACAAGCUUGCUAGUCGCUGACGAGUGGCGGACGGGUGAGUAACGCGUGGGAAUCUGCCCAGUAGCGGGGAAUAGCCCGGAGAAAUCCGGAUUAAUACCGCAUACGCCCUACGGGGGAAAGGCUUUGGCCACUAUUGGAUGAGCCCGCGUUAGAUUAGCUUGUUGGUGAGGUAAAGGCUCACCAAGGCGACGAUCUAUAGCUGGUCUGAGAGGAUGAUCAGCCACAUCGGGACUGAGACACGGCCCGGACUCCUACGGGAGGCAGCAGUCGGGAAUAUUGGACAAUGGGCGAAAGCCUGAUCCAACAAUACCGCGUGUGUGAAGAAGGCCUGCGGGUUGUAAAGCACUUUCGCUAGGGAAGAUAAUGACGGUACCUAGAUAAGAAGCACCGGCUAACUCCGUGCCAGCAGCCGCGGUAAUACGGAGGGUGCAAGCGUUAAUCGGAAUUACUGGGCGUAAAGCGCGCGUAGGCGGCUUGUUAAGUCAGAUGUGAAAGCCCCGGGCUCAACCUGGGAACUGCAUCUGAUACUGGCAGGCUAGAGUUUGUGAGAGGGAAGUGGAAUUUCCGGUGUAGCGGUGAAAUGCAUAGAGAUCGGAAGGAACAUCAGUGGCGAAGGCGACUUCCUGGCACAAAACUGACGCUGAGGUGCGAAAGCGUGGGUAGCAAACAGGAUUAGAUACCCUGGUAGUCCACGCCGUAAACGAUGUCAACUAGCCGUUGGGAACAUUUAAGUUUUCAGUGGUGCAGCUAACGCAUUAAGUUGACCGCCUGGGGAGUACGG